CUCAGGGCCCACAGGGACAAUUGUGUGGGAGGGACAAUUCCCAACAUCUGCCUCCACCCUGGGCUCGGGGAAGCUCCUGGGGACCGGGAACGGAGCAGUCUGGGCACAGCAGGGGAAGGAGCCGGCUCUGGAGCAUCAAGUGGCCGCCUUGGCACCGCCAGCGCGUCCGGCCCUCGCCAUCUGCACCAACCAUCAAAGCUCCCUUCGAAACCCGCAUUUGCUGUAAAUUAGAACAUCUCCGACUCUUGGCUGAUCAGAAAUAUUCGGAAAUUCAUCGUGCGGAGAGCGGUGUCACUGGGGCUAUUUAUAAACACGGAGCUGGCACAAAAUGCCAUUCAGCAAAUUCCUUUUUUUAGGUUGCUUCUCUCCACACCCCCCUCCCCGCUCCUUUUUUCCCUUUCUGUUUCCAGCUCCAAAGUGAGACGUUUCUGAUCCGAGCGGGGAUGCUGCGGUAGGUGGCACUCCUCCCUCUCAACUCCAGCAGGAUCCUGCUUUCCUGGAGCACCGGGAAUGCCGUGCCUGCAGCAUCCCUGGAGCAUCCGAGGUGUGAAGAGCAGGUGCUGGGCUCGUUCCCGGUGGGAAGGGUGUCCCCAGAGCUCCCUGCAGCUUUAACCGGAGCUGUGCCCUCUGAUCCCAGCCCGGGAAGGCACCAGGCUCUGUCUGGGCUGCUCCUGCUCCUGCCCAAGGGGCUGGAGCUGCUCGAGGAAGGAAGCACCGCAGACACACAAAAUAAAUGAAAAAUAUCUUAUUACCC
rnacentral:lncRNA from 1 species